AGAACGAACGCUGGCGGCGUGCCUAACACAUGCAAGUCGAACGGAAUUGAGGGGCUUGCUCUUCAAUUUAGUGGCGCACGGGUGAGCAACGCGUAGAUAAUCUGCCUGAUGAUUUGGGAUAACACUUCGAAAGAGGUGCUAAUACCGGAUAAGCCCACGGAGUCUUUGGAUUCUGCGGGAAAAGGGGGGGACCUUCGGGCCUUCUGUCAUCAGAUGAGUCUGCGUACCAUUAGCUAGUUGGUAGGGUAAUGGCCUACCAAGGCUACGAUGGUUAGCUGGUCUGAGAGGAUGAUCAGCCACACUGGAACUGAGACACGGUCCAGACCUCCGUACGGGAGCAGGCGGUGGGAAUUUGCGCAAGUGGGCGAAGCUGGCGCAGCAACGCCGCGUGAGUGAUGAAGGUCGUUCGGUACGUAAGCUCGUGUCGGAAGGGAAGAGUGUAGUUUGGUAACUACCCGUGUAUACGUUCGAACCGUAACCCGUAAAGGAACGACCGACCGGACC
rnacentral:rRNA from 1 species